AGGUCUAGCCUGCCMAUGAGUAUUAAAUGGCCGCAGUAUAUUAACUGUGCAAAGGUAGCAUAAUCAUUAGUUUUUUAAUUGAAAGCUGGAAUGAAAGGUUGGAUGAGAAAAUAACUGUCUCUAUUUAAAUUAUUAGAAUUUUAUUUUUAAGUAAAAAAGCUUAAAUAAAUAUAGAAGACGAGAAGACCCUAUAGAGUUUUAUAGGAUUUUAAUUAAAUGAAAUAUAGAAUUAAAUAUAAUUUUAAAUUAAAGUUUUAUUUGAUUGGGGUGAUUGAAAAAUUAAAAAAACUUUUUUUGUAUCAAAACAUUAAUUUAUGAGUAUUUGAUCCUUAAAUAAGAUUAAAAGAUUAAAUUACCUUAGGGAUAACAGCGUAAUAUUUUUUUAGAGUUCUAAUCGAAAAAAAUGGUUGCGACCUCGAUGUUGGAUUAAAAUUUAUUCUUAGUGCAGAAGCUAAGAAAUUGGGUCUGUUCGACCUUUAAAAUUUUACAUGAUCUGAGUUUAAACCGGUGUAAGCCAGGUCGGUU
rnacentral:rRNA from 1 species